rnacentral:rRNA from 1 species
UACGUAGGGUGCAAGCGUUAAUCGGAAUUACUGGGCGUAAAGCGUGCGCAGGCGGUGGUGUAAGACAGGUGUGAAAUCCCCGGGCUUAACCUGGGAACUGCAUUUGUGACUGCAUCGCUGGAGUGCGGCAGAGGGGGAUGGAAUUCCGCGUGUAGCAGUGAAAUGCGUAGAUAUGCGGAGGAACACCGAUGGCGAAGGCAAUCCCCUGGGCCUGCACUGACGCUCAUGCACGAAAGCGUGGGGAGCAAACAGG